rnacentral:rRNA from 1 species
UACGAAGGGGGCUAGCGUUGUCCGAAGUUACUGGGCGUAAAGCGCGCGUAGGCGGGUUGGUAAGUCCGCUGUGAAAGCCCGGAGCUUAACUCCGGAGGGUCGGUGGAUACUGCCAGUCUUGAAGGUGCUAGGGGGAGAUGGAAUUACCGGUGUAGCGGUGAAAUGCGUAGAUAUCGGGAGGAACACCAGUGGCGAAGGCGACUUCCUGGCCUGUUCUUGACGCUGAGGCGCGAAAGCUAGGGGAGCAAACGGG